rnacentral:rRNA from 1 species
AUUGAACGCUGGCGGCAUGCCUUACAUAUGCAAGUCGAACGGUAAUAGGUCUUCGGAUGCUGACGAGUGGCGAACGGGUGAGUAAUGCAUCGGAACGUGCCCGAUCGUGGGUGAUAACGAAGCGAAAGCUUUGCUAAUACCGCAUAAGAUCUAAGGAUGAAAGCAGGGGACCGCAAGGCCUUGCGCGAACGGAGCGGCCGAUGGCAGAUUAGGUAGUUGGCGGGAUAAAAGCUUACCAAGCCGACGAUCUGUAGCUGGUCUGAGAGGACGACCAGCCACACUGGGACUGAGAACCGGACCAGACUCCUACGGGAGGCAGCAGUGGGGAAUUUUAGACAAUGGGCGAAAGCCUGAUCCAGCCAUGCCGCGUGCAGGAUGAAGGCCUUCGGGUUGUAAACUGCUUUUGUACGGAACGAAAAGACUCCUUCUAAUAAAGAGGGUCCAUGACGGUACCGUAAGAAUAAGCACCGGCUAACUACGUGCCAGCCGCCGCAGUAACAC